rnacentral:tRNA from 1 species
GGUGAUGCGCCGGAAUCGAACGGAUAACUCUGAUGACGUUAAUUAUGGGACCUUCCCCUUCACCU